GGUUGAAAACUCCGGUGGUAAUGGAUGGGCAUGCGUUGUAUUAGUUAGUUGGUGGGGUAACGGCUCACCAAGACAACGAUACAUAGGGGGACUGAGAGGAUAACCCCCCACAUUGGUACUGAGACACGGACCAAACUCCUACGGGAGGCAGCAGUGAGGAAUAUUGGUCAAUGGACGCAAGUCUGAACCAGCCAUGCCGCGUGCAGGAAGACGGCUCUAUGAGUUGUAAACUGCUUUUGUACGAGGGUAAACGCAGAUACGUGUAUCUGUCUGAAAGUAUCGUACGAAUAAGGAUCGGCUAACUCCGUGCCAGCAGCCGCGGUAAUACGGAGGAUUCAAGCGUUAUCCGGAUUUAUUGGGUUUAAAGGGUGCGUAGGCGGUCGGAUAAGUUAGAGGUGAAAUCCCGAGGCUCAACUUCGGAAUUGCCUCUGAUACUGUUCGGCUAGAGAGUAGUUGCGGUAGGCGGAAUGUAUGGUGUAGCGGUGAAAUGCUUAGAGAUCAUACAGAACACCGAUUGCGAAGGCAGCUUACCAAGCUACUUCUGACGUUGAGGCACGAAAGCGUGGGGAGCAAACAGGAUUAGAUACCCUGGUAGUCCACGCAGUAAACGAUGAUAACUCGUUGUCGGCGAUACAAUGUCGGUGACUAAGCGAAAGCGAUAAGUUAUCCACCUGGGGGGUACGUUCGCAAGAAUGAAACUCAAAGGAAUUGACGGGGGCCCGCACAAGCGGAGGAACAUGUGGUUUAAUUCGAUGAUACGCGAGGAACCUUACCCGGGCUUGAAAGUUAGUGACAGAUCUGGAAACAGGUCUUCCCUUCGGGGCACGAAACUAGGUGCUGCAUGGUUGUCGUCAGCUCGUGCCGUGAGGUGUCGGGUUAAGUCCCAUAACGAGCGCAACCCCUACCGUCAGUUGCCAGCAGGUCAAGCUGGGCACUCUGGCGGGACUGCCGGUGUAAGCCGAGAGGAAGGUGGGGAUGACGUCAAAUCAGCACGGCCCUUACGUCCGGGGCUACACACGUGUUACAAUGGCAGGUACAGAGGGCAGCUACCCAGCGAUGGGAUGCGAAUCUCGAAAGCCUGUCUCAGUUCGGAUUGGAGGCUGAAACCCGCCUCCAUGAAGUUGGAUUCGCUAGUAAUCGCGCAUCAGCCAUGGCGCGGUGAAUACGUUCCCGGGCCU
rnacentral:rRNA from 1 species